rnacentral:rRNA from 1 species
AGCGAAACUGCGAAUGGCUCAUUAAAUCAGUUAUCGUUUAUUUGAUAGUGCCUUCUUACUCGGAUAACCGUGGUAAUUCUAGAGCUAAUACGUGCUUCAAGUCCCAACUUCGGAAGGGACGUGUUUAUUAGAUUCAAAGCCAACGCCUUUCGGGGCUCGCUGGUGAUUCAUGAUAACCGCUCGAAUCGCACGGCCUUUGCGCCGGCGAUGGUUCAUUCAAAUUUCUGCCCUAUCAACUUUCGAUGGCUGGGUAGUGGCCAGCCAUGGUGACAACGGGUAACGGAGGGUUAGGGCUCGACCCCGGAGAAGAAGCCAGAGUAACGGCUUCUACAUCCAUGGAAGGCAGCAGGCGCGCAAAUUACCCAAUCCCGACACGGGGAGGUAGUGACAAUAAAUACUGAUACAGGGCUCUUUAGGGUCUUGUAAUUGGAAUGAGUACAAUUUAAAUCCCUUAACGAGGAACAAUUGGAGGGCAAGUCUGGUGCCAGCAGCCGCGGUAAUUCCAGCUCCAAUAGCGUAUAUUAAAGUUGUUGCGGUUAAAAAGCUCGUAGUUGAACCUCGGGCCUGGCCGGCCGGUCCGCCUCACCGCGUGCACUGGCUCGGCUGGGCCUUUCCCGCUGGGGAGCCGCAUGCCCUUCACUGGGUGUGUCGGGGAACCAGGACUUUUACUUUGAAUAAAUCAGAUCGCUCCAAGAAGGCCUUCGCUCGGAUGCAUUAGCAUGGAAUAAUGAAAUAGGACGUGCGGUUCUAUUUCGUUGGUUUCUAGGACCGCCGUAAUGAUUAAGAGGGACAGUCGGGGGCAUCAGUAUUCAGUUGUCAGAGGUGAAAUUCUUGGAUCUACUGAAGACUAACUACUGCGAAAGCAUUUGCCAAGGAUGUUUUCAUUAAUCAGGAACGAAAGUUGGGGGAUCGAAGACGAUCAGAUACCGUCGUAGUCUCAACCAUAAACCAUGCCGACUAGGGAUCGGACGAUGCUAUCCUAUGGCUCGUUCGGCACCUUACGCGAAAGCAAAGUU